rnacentral:rRNA from 1 species
UACGAAGGGUGCUAGCGUUGCUCGGAAUUACUGGGCGUAAAGGGCGCGUAGGCGGACAUUUAAGUCAGAGGUGAACGCCCAGGGCUCAACCUUGGAAUUGCCUUUGAUACUGGAUGUCUUGAGUUCGGGAGAGGUGAGUGGAAUGCCGAGUGUAGAGGUGAAAGGCGUAGAGAUUCGGCGGAACACCAGUGGCGAAGGCGACUCACUGGCCCGAUACUGACGCUGAGGCGCGAAAGCGUGGGGAGCAAACAGG